rnacentral:rRNA from 1 species
UAUUGGUCAAUGGAUGGAAGUCUGGACCAGCCAUGCCGCGUGCAGGAAGAAGGCCUUCUGGGUUGUAAACUGCUUUUGCCAGGGGCUAAAAAGCUCAUGCGUGAGAAAUUGAAAGUACCUGGUGAAUAAGCCACGGCUAACUACGUGCCAGCAGCCGCGGUAAUACGUAGGUGGCAGGCGUUGUCCGGAUCUAUUGGGUUUAAAGGGUGCGUGGGCGGCUUUGUAAGUCAGUGGUGAAAUAUGGCAGCUUAACUGUCAGGGUGCCAUUGAUACUGCAGAGCUUGAGUACAGAUGAGGUAGGCGGAAUUGACGGUGUAGCGGUGAAAUGCUUAGAUAUCGUCAAGAACACCGAUAGCGAAGGCAGCUUACUGGGCUGUAACUGACGCUGAGGCACGAAAGUGUGGGGAUCAAACAG